CAUUACCGAGUUUACAACUCCCAAACCCCUGUGAACAUACCACUUGUUGCCUCGGCGGAUCAGCCCGCUCCCGGUAAAACGGGACGGCCCGCCAGAGGACCCCUAAACUCUGUUUCUAUAUGUAACUUCUGAGUAAAACCAUAAAUAAAUCAAAACUUUCAACAACGGAUCUCUUGGUUCUGGCAUCGAUGAAGAACGCAGCAAAAUGCGAUAAGUAAUGUGAAUUGCAGAAUUCAGUGAAUCAUCGAAUCUUUGAACGCACAUUGCGCCCGCCAGUAUUCUGGCGGGCAUGCCUGUUCGAGCGUCAUUUCAACCCUCAAGCACAGCUUGGUGUUGGGACUCGCGUUAAUUCGCGUUCCUCAAAUUGAUUGGCGGUCACGUCGAGCUUCCAUAGCGUAGUAGUAAAACCCUCGUUACUGGUAAUCGUCGCGGCCACGCCGUUAAACCCCAACUUCUGAAUGUUGACCUCGGAUCAGGUAGGAAUACCCGCUGAACUUAAGCAUAU
rnacentral:rRNA from 1 species